GCCGGGCAGCCGGUUUAUUUUUAAUGAACCCAUCGCAACCGGGCGCUGUAGUGGGAGGAGCCAGAGGGGCGCCACUACCGAACGACCCAUCGAAGGAGGAGAUGUGUCAGUUGAAGAGAGAUGUGUGAGAAAUCACAAGGCUCUGGUGACACACAUAUCUCCGAAACGCUCGAGUCAUCUGAGAAAUUCUCGGUUUUUCUGCCCACUGCUGUUGCGCUCAGAAAGGCGCACGGCUCCUUGGCUUUAACCACCCUUGCGUAAUGGCUGUGGCUCACACUACAAAGCUGUCUGCUUACCGCCCCGGCCAAGUGGUAGCUCUUCGGCAUAACGCAGGGAAUGGCAAGAGUUAGCCUGGAUUGGCUCUGCAAAAGAUACACAGAAGACUAAUCUCAAGAACCGAUUCUCUAAUUGCGUCUCUAUCGCCUACUGGUCGUCGGCGCCAUUGUGGUCCCCACCAUGGUGCAGAAGUACCAAUCCCCUGUGAGGGUGUACAAGUAUCCCUUUGAGCUGGUGAUGGCGGUAAGUGUCCCUAUACACACACACAGGCGCACACACUGCCAGGCGCACACACUGCCAGGCGCACACAAAGGCACAAAGGCAAGCACACACACACACACACACACACGCACGCGUGCAUGUGUGCGCACGCACGCACGCAGGCGCAAGCACGAACACACACACACACGUGCGCAAGCAUACACACACGUGCGCAAGCACACACACACACGCGCACACACACACACACACACACACACACACACACACACACACACACACACACACACACACACACACACACACACACACACACACACACACACACACACACACACACACACACACACACACACACACACACACACACACACACACACACACACACACACACACACAGAGAGAGAGACACACAGCGGUGUGUGUGAUGCAGACUUAUGCAGUCGGGGUGGGCGUGUUCCAGAUCCCCUUACCCAGAUGGCUAUUUCAGUGGUUGCUCGUUAGGCACCUUGGGGUCAACACGGCAGGGGCCUUAAGGAAGCCAUUCCUCAGUAGUAUUACUUUCACACCUAUUCUGCACUCUUUCUCUGUAUUCUGAGUCUGAUUGAUGGUAACUCAUUAUGCUAAACCCUGCUUCUCUCCAUUGGCUACUAUAUGCACCACUCAAGUGAUGGUAGGGA